CAGGUGCUGCAUGGCUGUCGUCAGCUCGUGUCGUGAAAUGUUCGGUUAAGUCCGCUAACGAGCGCAACCCUCGUCGUGUGUUAUACGUGUCACACGAUACUGCCGGUAUCAAGCCGGAGGAAGGUGGGGAUGAUGUCAAGUCAGCAUGGCCUUUAUAUCCUGGGCUACACACACGCUACAAUGGCAGAUACAAUAGGUUGCGAAACCGCGAGGUGGAGCCAAUCCUCAAAGUCUGUCUCAGUUCAGAUUGUAGGCUGCAACUCGCCUGCAUGAAGUUGGAGUUGCUAGUAAACGCAGGUCAGCUAUACUGCGUUGAAUACGUUCCCGGGUUU
rnacentral:rRNA from 1 species